rnacentral:rRNA from 1 species
GGCCUAACACAUGCAAGUCGAGCGGAAACGACACUAACAAUCCUUCGGGUGCGUUAAUGGGCGUUCGAGCGGCGGACGGGUGAGUAAUGCCUAGAAAAUUGCCUURAUGUGGGGGAUAACCAUUGGAAACGAUGGCUAAUACCGCAUGAUGCCUACGGGCCAAAGAGGGGGACCUUCGGGCCUCUCGCGUCAAGAUAUGCCUAGGUGGGAUUAGCUAGUUGGUGAGGUAAUGGCUCACCAAGGCGACGAUCCCUAGCUGGUCUGAGAGGAUGAUCAGCCACACUGGAACUGAGACACGGUCCAGACUCCUACGGGAGGCAGCAGUGGGGAAUAUUGCACAAUGGGCGAAAGCCUGAUGCAGCCAUGCCGCGUGUAUGAAGAAGGCCUUCGGGUUGUAAAGUACUUUCAGUUGUGAGGAAGGGUGUGUAGUUAAUAGCAUGYGCAUCUUGACGUUAGCAACAGAAGAAGCACCGGCUAACUCCGUGCCAGCAGCCGCGGUAAUACGGAGGGUGCGAGCGUUAAUCGGAAUUACUGGGCGUUAAGSGCAUGCAGGUGGUUCAUUAAGUCAGAUGUGAAAANCCCC